GUGGGUUAGCAUGUGCUAGCCAGUUUAACUGUCGGUGGGUUAGCAUGUGCUAGCCAGUUUAACUGUCGGUGGGUUAGCAUGUGCUAACCUCUUACCUUAUCUACUCUGAUCUCUCUCAGGUUCAUCUGCUUGGACAGACUCAUAUUGGAGACCAGGAGGAUCCAUAGACAGUGUUAGAGGUUAGAGGUCAGACAUGAUGACAUCACAUGGAAAGCUGAGGAUGCAGAGAGGGAGUCUGUACGAGUAUGACUCCCAGGUCAAAGGACGUCAGUAAACAGAUGAACUCUGUCUUCAAGAGCUCUUCUCUCGCCAGCCACCCUGCAGCCUGCUACCCAUGCCCCUCCUUCCUCUUCUUCCUCCUCUCUCCAGGGGGCAGGAAGGUGGGGUUUAGCUUCAGGGGUGGGCUUCUUUAGACGCAGCGGACCAAUAGAAGGACAGAAGCAGAAGUGAGCCGAUAAUGAUGAUUUAUUUUUCUGACACGUCUGUGUGUGAUAUGACAUUUAGUAUGUGAUGGAUGAUUGUGUGUGAUGAUAUUAGUAUGUGAUAUUGCUUGUCUUUUAAACCUGUCUCAGUGCUGUCUAUCUCUAAUAGAACAAGGAUGGGUUUGGGUUUCCAACAACUCAGGGCUUGGGUACUUACCUAUUUUUGUAUCAAUUGUUUUAAACUUGAUAUAACAAUAAUUUAAAACACUUAGUAAGGGUAUAAAACAUACUUUUCAAUUACAAUACCAAACUGGUCCAACAGCAUAUCCAAGAUGGCCUCCAAAACCAGAUCCUUCGAUGCUGGUUAAAAUGUGAAAAUGUUUAUUUCGCUCCUCCCACUCUAGUAAUUCUAAUCUCUGUGGUUCUGAGGGGCUUUGUCCAUCUAGUCAUAUUUCUAUGGAUGCAACCCUCCUCCCUCUUUCUUAGACCAGUGUUUCCCAAACUCGGUCCUGGGGCCCCCCUGGGUGCACAUUUUGGACUGGGGGGGAUGGGAGGCAGGACCGAGUUUGGGAAACACUGGCUCUAAUGCACGUUGAUGAUGUCACUGUAUUAAAAUCUUCUGUGGUAAACCGAUGAAAAAUAAAUAAUAGAUUCUGA